rnacentral:rRNA from 1 species
UACGUAGGGGGCGAGCGUUGUCCGGAUUUAUUGGGCGUAAAGAGCUCGUAGGCGGUUCGAUAAGUCGGACGUGAAAUCUCCACGCUCAACGUGGAGGGGCCGUUCGAUACUGUCGUGACUCGAGUCCGGGAGAGGGAUGCGGAAUUCCAGGUGUAGCGGUGAAAUGCGUAGAUAUCUGGAGGAACACCGGUGGCGAAGGCGGCAUCCUGGACCGGCAUUGACGCUGAACAGCGAAAGCCAGGGGAGCAAACGGG